AGCCCACGCGGAACUGCGGGGGGAGAGGGGACAGAGUUACACAGGGCGGGCUGGACUGGGGCGGCGGGGUGGCCAGCGCCCGACGCAGAAGGAAACCCCCACGCAGGAGUGCGCGCAGCCCAGGGCCACCGUGUGGUCCCACCUGCUGAAGCAGGAUGCCGCAUAAGGACGGGAGAGGUCAAGGAUCUGGGGACGGGACCCUGUUGGGAAGAGUCUACAGAGACAGUGGGCAGAUCUGCAGCUCUGCGGCCUGGGGUUUCCCUCUGGGUCAGGAUUUGACCUUUGACUUUCCCACCGGAGGAUCCUGCUGAAUCUUGAGCCCAAUUACAGCCUGGGGCUAUCAGAGUGGGAACCGAGCUCUUGACCAAGUCAGGCGAUCACAGCGGUCAUUAACGCACAUCUGUUAGAUUGAUGUGCCUCUUGACCACACAGGACCUCAGCCAAGGGCCUGAACACCUCUGAUAACCCCUCCCCUGCUCUGGCAGAGAUAACGAAACGUUUUUAUUCAUACAGCUCAUUACCGACCCGGGGGAAUCAAUCAAGAAAAUUAACGGCCAAUCACAGCCAGAUUAAGAGCUGAUUGCUACUGGUCACGAACAGAGGUCAGCUCCGUGUCUGGAUACAACAGGCUCCUGCCAGUCCAGGUCCUGUUUUCCUAACAGGAAGGUCUGAAGCAGUUGUGGCUCCUGUGGUGAAUACGUGGAACAGAACAGAUUCUGCUCUGGUUGCUAUGUUUUAGUUUUCUGAAUUCCCAAUUCCUGGAUUCCUGGCUGGGGCGAAGAUGAGGUCUCUGCAGUAGCAUUCCUCCUGACCUUCUGAAACCCCACAGUGCUGGAAGAUGGCUGGGGACAGGGAAGCCUGGACUCAGCUGGGAGUUUGUUCGAAGGCAGUGCAGGGCUGCCGGGGGCAGGGGUUUGACAGAGGUACGGCACACCCCCGACUCAAAAGUCCUGGCGGCUCACUUUGCUGGUUUGCCUACAGAACAGAUGACCACUCCCACUGGAGGAGGUUAGGGACAUUAGAGAGUGACCACACCCUGCCUGACCACAUCUCCAUGAGGGGGUCUACAGUCUGAGCACCUGCCUAGUUGUGCGUUACAUCCAGCCUGGGGCAGGUCUGCAGGAAAAAGGAGCUGACCACAGUCUGGGCAAAGCCCCGUCUUCAGGAAGCCUCACUCUGACCCUGGGAAUGUAGGCUACAGCAGAUGGAAAGGUACCAACGCCGUGCAAGACGAGAUCAGGGGGUUAUUUUUGGAAAGGAGGGCAAGGUUUGUUUAAUCAGUGGAAUUUGUAAGUGUCUGCUGGGAAGUUAAUACAAUUUUUGUGAUUAAACAUCCUGCGAUCUACCUGU